rnacentral:lncRNA from 1 species
GCAUGGGAAAGGUUAUAGCGAAUAGACUAUAGAUUACUCAACUUGAGGAGCUGCUAUAUUGGCAUGUUGGAGCAGAAUGUCAACUAUCUGCUCAUAUGGUUAAGCACUGCAAAUAUGCAUAGUUUUGGAUUAUGUAUACUUUUGAGUAUAUGGUAUCUUAAGAUAAUAUCCAUAAGAACCUUUUCAUGUCUCAGAAAAUUGUCAUCAAUCAACAUUCCUACCAAAAGGGUAACUUUGAAUUUCAGCAGAUGGGAAUUUGUGAUGCCAUUUUUAAUUGUGACACAGCAGAAUAGUUGCUAAAGAAUGCAGCUUCUUAGUUUUAAUAUAUAGUUAUACCAACAGUUGUUUCAGAUGAUAAGAAAUAGGAUUUUAUUCUCAAAGAUUAUUGUGUGGAUCCCGAUGAACGAUGUGACAGGCAUUAGCCUACCAUGGUUGUGUGGUUAUUGCAUAGGUAUAACCACCAUAGUUAUUCAAUUCCUACUAUUAGUUCACACUCUCCCUAUAUAUAUUUAUAUGUCUUGUUCAAAUUUUCAAUCGUUA